AGCAGCCGCGGUAAUUCCAGCUCCAAUAGCGUAUAUUAAAGUUGCUGCAGUUAAAAAGCUCGUAGUUGAAUUUCGGGACUAAUAUGUCGGUCGUGCCUCGGUACGUACUGGCUUAUUGGUUUCUCCUUUCUGAAGAACCAUGAUGUCAUUUAUUUGGUGCCGUGGGGAAUCAGGGCCGUUUACUUUAGAAAAAAUUAGAGUGUUUAAAGCAGGCUCACGCUU
rnacentral:rRNA from 1 species